ensembl:lncRNA
UCUCCAUCCUUCCCCCACUCUUUAUCUCUCCAUCCUUCCCCCACUCUUUAUCUCUCCAUCAUUCCCCCACUAUUUAUCUCUCCAUCCUUCUCCCACUCUUUCUCUCCAUCCUUCCCCCACUUUCUCUCCAUCCUUCCCCACUCUUUAUCUCUCCAUCCUUCCCCCACUGUUUAUCUCUCCAUCCUUCUCCCACUCUUUCUCUGCAUCCUUCCCCCACUUUCUCUCCAUCCUUCCCCCACUCUUUAUCUCUCCAUCCAUCCCCCACUCUUUAUCUCUCCAUCCUUCCCCCACUCUUUAUCUCUCCAUCCUUCCCCCACUCUUUAUCUCUCCAUCCUUCCCCCACUCUUUAUCUCUCCAUCCUUCCCCACUGUUUAUCUCUCCAUCCUUCUCCCACUCUUUAUCUCUCAAUCCUUCCCCACUUUCUCUCCAUCCUUCCCCCACUCUUUAUCGCUCCAUCCUUCCCCCACUGUUUAUCUCUCCAUCCUUCUCCCACUCUUUAUCUCUCCAUCCUUCCCCCACUUUCUCUCCAUCCUUCCCCCACUCUUUAUCUCUCCAUCCUUCCCCCACUCUUUAUCUCUCCAUCCUUCCCCCACUGUUUAUCUCUCCAUCCUUCUCCCACUUUCUCUCCAUCCUUCCCCCACUCUUUAUCUCUCCAUCCUUCCCCCACUCUUUAUCUCUCCACCCUUCCCCCACUCUUUAUCUCUCCAUCCUUCCCCCACUGUUUAUCUCUCCAUCCUUCUCCCACUCUUUAUCUCUCCAUCCUUCCCCCACUCUUUAUCUCUCCAUCCUUCCCCCACUCUUUAUCUCUCCAUCCUUCCCCCACUCUUUAUCUCUCCAUCCUUCCCCCACUCUGUAUCUCUCCAUCCUUCCCCCACUCUUUAUCUCUCCAUCCUUCCCCCACUCUGUAUCUCUCCAUCCUUCCCCCACUCUUUAUCUCUCCAUCCUUCCCCCACUCUUUAUCUCUCCAUCCUUCCCCCACUCUGUAUCUCUCCAUCCUUCCCCCACUCUUUAUCUCUCCAUUCCUCCCCCGCUCUCUCUUCUCCUCUCGGAGUGAUUUCAACUCUGUUCAGAGUCACAGUGUCUAUGUAUCUGCUGCAUUAAGCCGCUCAUGUUUAAUAGUAGAAUCAUUUUGAGGCUUAGUUCUAAAUGCGGCGCAUCAGAGGUUCAAACCACUCUCCUCUACACAGUCAGUCUCUUAAAGUAAAUACAUCUCUUUCAACUUUUCUUUUUUUUUCAGCUAGUGGCCAGAUUGAUUCAUAUAUUUGUAUGUUUUCUCUCUCUCUCUCUCUCUCUCUCUGCAUCCGAAAUAGGGUGCUAUUUCGGAUGCAGACCCUAUGAUGUGGUUUGCUAUAGAACACAAAUAUGCCUCUUUCUCUCCCUCUAUCUCUCCUUCUGUCAUCAACACAUCCAACCUAUCCCAUGUUAACCCUCUGUAUUUUCCUCUCACUAUCCUAUAUGAACUCUCUCCCUCUCUGUUGAGCUCUCUCUCCCUCCCUCUCUCCGUCUAUCCUUUCAUAAUCACGGUUUGAUUAAAUGACAGAUCUGUAAGUGAACCCGCAAAACCUUUCCCCCCACCUCUUCUCUUCUCCUCUCCUCUCCUCCUUGCUUUCCCCCCAAUCCCUAUCUCCCACUGCCACUCUCUCCCC